rnacentral:rRNA from 1 species
AGCGAACGCUGGCGGCAGGCCUAACACAUGAAAGUCGAGCGGAUGAAGAGAGCUUGCUCUCUAAUUCAGCGGCGGACGGGUGAGUAAUGCCUAGGAAUCUGCCUGGUAGUGGGGGACAACGUAUCGAAAGGAACGCUAAUACCGCAUACGUCCUUCUGGAGAAAGCAGGGGACCUUCGGGCCUUGCACUAUCAGAUGAGCCUUGGUCGGAUUAGCUAGUAGGUGGGGUAGAGGCCUACCAAGGAGACGAUCUGUAGCGGUUCUGAGAGGAUUAUGCGCCACACUGUGACUGAGAUACGGGCCAGACUCCUACGGGAGGCAGCAGUGGGGAAGAGGGGACAAUGGGUGGAGCCCUGAUGCAGCCAUGACGCGUGUGUGAAGAGGGCAUUUUGGUUGUAAAGCACUUUAAGCGAGGAGGAGGCUACUAGUAUUAAUACUACUGGAUAGUGGACGUUACUCGCAGAAUAAGCACCGGCUAACUCUGUGCCAGCAGCCGCCGUAACAC